rnacentral:rRNA from 1 species
CCUACGGGGGGCUGCAGUGGGGAAUAUUGCACAAUGGGCGCAAGCCUGAUGCAGCCAUGCCGCGUGUGUGAAGAAGGCCUUCGGGUUGUAAAGCACUUUCAGCGGGGAGGAAGGCGUUAAGGUUAAUAACCUUGGCGAUUGACGUUACCCGCAGAAGAAGCACCGGCUAACUCCGUGCCAGCAGCCGCGGUAAUACGGAGGGUGCAAGCGUUAAUCGGAAUUACUGGGCGUAAAGCGCACGCAGGCGGUCUGUCAAGUCGGAUGUGAAAUCCCCGGGCUCAACCUGGGAACUGCAUUCGAAACUGGCAGGCUAGAGUCUUGUAGAGGGGGGUAGAAUUCCAGGUGUAGCGGUGAAAUGCGUAGAGAUCUGGAGGAAUACCGGUGGCGAAGGCGGCCCCCUGGACAAAGACUGACGCGCAGGUGCGAAAGCGUGGGGAGCAAACAGGAUUAGAUACCCUUGUAGUC